CGUCAACCGCGGAGCGACGCUCUACCCGUUGUAUGACUCCAGCUCAGUCAACACCUAUUUCACACUUUCGGCUGGUUGUUGGCUCUGAUACCAACUGUAACGAUCCGAUCCACUAGUAAUAUAACUUGUUCGACUCAAGCCACCGAUCUAAAAUGCUUAAGUUCGGUUAUUAUUAUUAUGAUCUUUGGUCGUUUAUAUGUUGAAUUAUAAUUUCGUUUUCAUCCGAUAUGGAACUGUUGGGGUAUCACUAUUGUCAAAGCUUGUGAUUUGGACUUUUUUGCUCUAGCAAUAGUGUAAUUUGUAUUUGGAAAAUUUGUACAUAACCCAAAUCCAAUAAUUCUAUAGGACUAAUGAUUCCUUAAUUUUUGGUUCAAUCUAAAUAAUUUGGGUGGAUUUUGAAAUAGGGUAGGUUGGUUGGGCCCCAAGAACACCCUACAAUUUGUAAUAGCUUGUACACUUUCAACUAAUUAAAUGUCAACAUGCCAAAUGUCAAUUUCAUGGGAGCAUAAAGCACCUAACAAUAAUAAGUCAUUUUCCUUGUCUUUGCCUUUUUCCUUUAUUUUUGAAAGAGCCAAUAAUCCUUCAAUUAAAACCUACAAACUAAUCACAAGAGGAAAUGGUUAUGUAAACACCGUGGGCGUGUUUGGUUCGCUUUUUUUUCACCCUGAAAUUGAAAUCAGAAUGGGCGAAUCCGUUUGUGGGUGUUUGGUACGUAGGAGUCCCAUUCCGAUUCCGAUUCCAAUUCCCGAGUGGAAUGGGAAUCUCCCAAUCACCUUAUUUUCCGGGGUGAACCGGACGAAAUGGAUAUUUAAUUGGAUUGAAAGUUGAAUCCGGACGGAAUGGAUAUUUAAUUGGAUUAAAUUUAUUUGUUCAACUUUUUUAAUUAAAAUAUGAGUUUAAAUUUAGAAAUUAAAUUUUAAAUUUUAAAUUUUAAAUUUUAAUUUGAACUUGAAUUAAAAAUUAAAAUUUAAUCAAGUAUUUCGAAUCUAACUUAUGAAUUUGAAUUUAAAUUAAAUUUUAAUUUAUAUAAAGUUUUAUUCAAAUUUUAUUUCAAACUUAAAUUAAAUUUAUAGAUUCAAAUAAAAAUUUAAAUUGUAAUUUUAAGUUUGAAUUUGAAUAAAUCAAAAUUUAGUUUCAUAUUUUGAAUUAUUCACUCAACUUCAAAGUUUAAUUAUUUUUUUAAAAAAUAGAUUUAAAAUUUUGACAUUAUUUCAAAAUUUUGAUGUAAAUUUUUAAUAUUUAAUUUUUAAUUUGAAUUUAAAUAUAUAUAUGAUAAAGAUAAAGUUAAUAUAUUAAUCUGAUUACAUUUUUUAUAUUUACCUGAACCAAAUACCGACAAUGGGAAUGAUUUAUUCCGAUUCUGAUUCAGGUGAUGAACCAAACAGAUUUAGGUAAUGAGUCAUUCCGAUUCCGAUUCCAGCUUAUUUUGAUUUCGAUUCUGAUUCCGAUUCCGACUUCGAACAAAACACGCCCUGUGUGUUGGUCCCUCCCUCCUAUUUUUUUUUCUUUUUUCCUACCCUUAUAUAUAUAUAGAGAGAGAGAGAGACAGAGAGAACGAGAACGUCUCCUACGCUUUCGAAAUUACAGAAGCCUCCGUGCUUAUAAGUUAUUUUCGAUGAUGAGAUAUUUGAUUUGAUUAUCGGCUCCGUUAGGUAUGAUUAGAGAUGUCAACGGGUUGAAUUCAGGACGGAUUUUCAAAAACCCAACUUCUAAGCCAAACCCCUAACCCGAAUUCAAACCCGAUGGAUUUUAAAAAUCCAUAUCCAAACCCGAACCCGACCAAAAAUUCGAAACCUGAAUCCGAACCCAAAAAUCAGAACCCUAAACAUCUUUUAAAUAUUUCAAAAUUUAUUACAUUAAAUCUAAAUUUUUUAAAAUACAAAUUCAAAUAUAACAUCAAAUUUUUAUAUACAUAUUAUUGUAAAAUAAAUUUGGGUUCGGGUCGGAUUCUGGUCGGGUUCGGGUUUGGGGCGGGUAUAGUCAAAUCACAUCCGAAUCCAUAUCCGUCGGAUUUUUGUUUUUGAUAUCCAUAUCGAAACCAUAUCUGUUUAGUAUCGGAUAAAUCAGCUCCUUUCGGGUUCAGAUUCGGAUUUGGAUAAAAUUUCGGGUAUCCAUACCCGUUGACAACCCUAGGCAUGAUCUACGCAAUUAGAACUAUUUAGAAACCAAAUUUUAUAAUUUUUUGACAUCAUUUACUAAACGAUCAAAAGGUCUAAAAAUGACUAUUUUAAUGGCCGAUGUGGCACAUUUGUAAAUUCAACAAUGUAGAACAAUUCGAAUUAUAUGAAACUUUAGCUAAAAAUUCUACUUUACAUCAAGAUUAAGAUAAAUAUUUUCGAUUUGAAAUUUGAGUAUUUUAUCACUAUGUUUUGUAAGAUUUUUAUUUUCAGCCGUUUAUUUUGAGACUACUUGUUCACUAGACAAACAAAAUAAAAAAUUAUAAAAUUUGAUUUCUAAAUAGUUAUAAUAGUGUAUAUCAUGUCUAACGGAGCCGGUCGCCGAAUUGAAUAUCCCAUCAUCGAAAACAACUUACAAGCACAAAGACCACCGUACUUUCGAAAUUGCAGAAUCCUAGCUCUAUACGUAUAUAAUUAAAUGCAUUAAAACAAUUUGAAUGUUUGUCAUUCCCAGAUGACCACCUGAACUUUCAUAUGUUUAUAAUUAAUCAUCUAAAUUUACAUUCCAUUAUUAACUUUAAGUAACAACUGACAAAAUUAUGCUUGGCACUAAUAUAGAAGAGCCUUUUUAAUAUCAAAAUUCAGUCCUACAGCAAAAGAUUAAUAUUCAACAUUUAAUGUUAAAAAUUAAACAUGGACCAAUUUUUCUAGAAAAAUUAUCACUGAUCUGUGUUAAAGCGUGUGAAACAAUUAUUGUAACGGCACUAUUUUUAUUAUUUAUAUUUAAUGUUCCUUCUCGUGGCAAAUUAAAUAUGAAACUUGGUGAGAUUCAAACUAAAUAUCUAUAACUCUGGUACCAUAUUAAGAAUGUAAAAUAAUCAAUUUUUUCCCCCAAAAGCUUAAGCUUCUAGAAAUAAAAAAUAUUCAUAAUAUUUAUGCUCAAAAACAUACCAUUGAAGUAAUAUUUAUCACAAAAAUUAAUAGAAUAUAAAUUUACAUGACUAAUUACAAAAUUUUUGAAAUUUGUGGCAAAUAUGGAAUUUUUAAAGUUUAUCAGCUAUCUACAAACGGACAAAAGUUCAAAUAAUUUUUAUGAUUAUUUGUUCUUUUUGGAUUUUUUUUGAAAAGUAUUUUAUUGUCAAUUUUUAAAAUUUUCUUUUACAGGAUCACCUUCCUAAUAUGAUAAAUUUAUUCAUCAACUCAUAAUAUUAUGAAAAUGCUCUAUAUUUUUAUAUUCAAAUGAUAAGAAAUAAUCCCCAUGCAACAUGAGUUGAGUGUCAUCAUUAUCCUAAUAGAGUAAGAUCUCUAACAAAGCAUAAAAUACCCGAUAAGUUCUCUUGGCUCAAGUUGCAAAGUAACUAUGUCACCAUUUCAAACCAAAUAAUAAUAAUAAUAAUAAUAAUAAUAAUAAUAAUAGUACAAACUAUUUCUAAAAUAUUACAAAAAUGCCACUAAUUAGAAGUUUGAAUCCUUAGUUGUUGUGGCUCCAUGACAGUGAACUCUCCUCUACUGGAGAGUUUCUUAAUUGCUUGGACCAUCUAAUAACAUGCCAAUGCAUGUGGAAGCAACAAUUUAAUAAUGCAAGCCACAUCACUCUCUCAACAACUUUGCAUUACAAAUAAUUCUAUGAGCUCAAAACCAUAUAUAUGAACCAACCUAAAAAAAUAUUUUGUAAACAAAAAAAAAAAAAAAAAAGGUACAAUGGCACCCCUCAACUUCGGCACUUUUGUAACGGUAGUAUGAUAGUAUGAUCAUCCAAACUUUAUCAAAUAGUUUAACAGAUGCUUGUCAUCAAUCAAAAUUACUCUUAUAAUAUACAGUUAUUUUAGUUGUUUGUAUUGCAUAUAAUUUUAUAAAACUGUAAAAUACAAGACGUACUUCUUCUGUUCUAACGUAUGAAAAAAGUAAUAAAAAUUGAAGAUAGGUUCGUCCUGUUCUUCAAUUUGAACGCUUAAUUAUCACAACUAGAAAAAAUAAAUGCUUUUUCUUCUUUUGCAUUUUUAGGUUUUACCAGAAUAUAUACAAUACCAGUAGCCAAAAAACGAUUGUUUGAUUAGUAAUUUCGCUUGAGAAAAAGAGUCAAUUGAAUUAAACAUAAAGAACUUAAACUAAGGACCAGUUUGAUUUGACUAUCUAAUCUUUUAAAAUUUUAAAUUUAUUAUCAAACCUUUUAAUUUAUUUAAUUUGAGUCAAUCACGGGCCUUUUGACUUUAGAAUUUGAACGCAUCAAUUAUCUUUACAAGUUUAGCUAGUAUACAUUAUGUAAUGCUCCCAACUAUGAAUAUAUAAAAGUAAUUAGCUUUAAAUUUAAAGUUAAAAUACCGUUAACCGACUCAAAUUAAAUAAAUUAAAAAAAUUAAAUAAUAAGAUCAAAAUUUAAAAAGUCAGAUAGCCGAUUCAAAAUGAUUUAUAGUUACCCUUACAAAUUGCUAGAAUAUAGGGUGUCAUGGUACAUUUUUUUCCACGAAAAAAAAAAAAAAAAAAACCCUACAGCAGCUGGUAGAAAAUAACAGGAGGCUUACUUUGAAAAAGCUUAUAAAAAAUUCAACCACCAUUAAUAAUGGCGUCUUCCACCGCACACACACACACACAGUUCAAAGUGUCGGCUCACCAAACAAAGAAUUUAAAGGAUUGAAUUAAAACCAUCACACACAGUCACUGUCCAGAUGAUGAACACACACACCUGAACAAUCCCAAACUCACAUUUUGGCUUUGCCCUUAGAGAUAAAAAAAAGGAAACAUCCAGCAAAUGAUAGAAGAAGAAUAUAAUUACAAAACCAUACCAAACAAAGUUUUCUUCUUCUUUUUUUUAUUUUUUUAAAAAAAUGGGUAUUAAAAAAAAAAAAAGAAAGAAAAUGAGAAAGCCCUAGGAAGUACCAUAAAAAUCAACAAUUUGAACAGGUGGGUAUUCAUCCUAGAUACAUCACCAACCAAUCCCCCCUUAACAACAAUCAGAAGAGAAAAAACAUCUGCUAUGGAAUUGCAGAAUAAAGAGAGAGAGAUAAGAGAGAGAGAGAGAUAAGAGAGAGAUUCAUAGUUUGCUAAUAAAUGAAAAUGGAACCAAGUAAUAAUAACAAAGUGAUUCACUAAACCAUGAGUCCAAUCCACCACCCUGGCUUGGUGACUACUGGCUCAAGAUUUCAGAUUUUCAUAGUUGUCUGGGCCCUUCGAUCGACUCGGUCCGUGCGGAGGACCGAUCGUCGCCCCCGUCCUCGAUGCUUUGAGAUUCGUUCUUGUCCGCGGCCCGUACGCCCGACUUUUGGAUCUCCUCAAUCCGGCUCACCACCUCCGACAUUGGGGGCCGGUUGUCGGGAUACUGCACGGCGCAGUCUAUGGCGAGCUGGAGAAGCUGAACCAUCUCCUCCUCUACAUUUUGGUAUCUCAAGAGCUCGAGAUCGAACACUUCUUGGGUCCACUCCUCUCGCACGACCGAUUGGACCCACCGCGGCAGAUCGACCCCUUCUUCGUUUAGUAGGGCUUGGGUCGGGGCCUUGCCCGUGAGGAGCUCGAGGAGGAGCACGCCGAAGCUGUAGAUGUCGGCCUUUUGGGAGACCUUGUGCGGGUCGGUGACCUCCGGAGCCCGGUAGCCGGCCACGCGGGACGGGGAGGAGAGGGGGCCGACGAGGGGCGCGAGGCCGUGGUCGGAGACGCGGGCCGCGUACGAUUUGGAGAGGAGGACGUUGGAGGACUUGAUGUUGCCGUGGGAGUUGGCGGAGGGGGGGCCGGCGGAGUGGAUGUAGGCGACGCCGCGGGCGGCGGAGAGGGCAAUGUUCAGACGGGUCUCCCAGUUGAGCGGGGUCCGGCCGGAGCCUCGGUUGCCUGGAGUGAGGGGCACAAAGUAAAUGAUGAGAAAAAGAUUGAGAGAUUGCCGGAUGUGAAAUGAGAACAGAGUCAAGAAAAUGGCAUGGAUUAACUUCAAAGAUCAGGUGGAAUUGUUAGGAAAAUAAUAAGAAGGGCCUUCCAAUUGUAUGACUUUAGUUGUCAAAAUGGUGAAGUUUGAAUAGAGCUUUUCUUCAGUUGUUGAAUGCUAAAUAUGCAUUCACACAACCACCACCACAGAGACCGACAAAUGCAAGAAAUAUCCGAUGCUCCGGAACAUGUAGUUCAUCAAAAAUUUCGUCAAAGUGUGGCUUCUUCAAAAUUUAUGCGAGUAAUAAUCAUAUGAAGAAUUAAGACUCAAGUAUGAAAAGAUUAAUAUAUAUUUUGCACCCUGCUGUUAUCACAGAGCAAUGUUUUUAGUCAAAUUUACUAACAUAUAGAAGAAUGAAAUAGGAGCAAUGCGCAUAAAACAAGAAUAAAUAUAGGUAACACCAUAAAAAAGAAAUAGAGAAUCCUAGAAUACUAAUAAACAGUUGAAUCAGGGUAUGAUGAAGACCUAGUGAGCUAACUAUUGAGCCUAAAACUCAAUAAAAGAACAAAUUAUUUAAAAGCAACAUCAGAUCCAUAUUGAGCUGGAUUUCGAGCCAAAGCGAGCAUGAUAGACAACAUCUUUAUGAUUAAAUGUAACAAACUUGAACCAACAAUGAAACUUGCAUCGGAAAACUUGAAAAACAAAGAGUGGUUCCAAAUUGGGAUUUUGAGAAAAAUGUACUCAAGUUUAUAAAAGCCGAUUGUCGUGAUUAGAGAGAAUCACUGCUACAUUGAUGCAAUCGACUCUAUCCUAUUGAGCUUUACUGAGCUAAAUUUGGUUAAUAAAGAUGAAUUAAGUUUCAUUAGUUUUUAACAUCAACCUCAGAAUAAUGCCCUAAAAAGUUAUGCACUUGAGCAAUUUCUCAAGAUCUCAAGAUCCAAAACUACUAUUAUAACUCGACCUUAACCAAAAACUAGUAAUCCUAAUAAACCAAAGUUAAAACCAAGUCGACUUAUCAACAGGUGUGGAAGAAACACCAAAUUUUCAAAUAUUGAAACCCCAAGGUAAUGAAAUCUAAACCACAUUGUCCAAAACUUCGAACUAAGCAACAAAUUCAAGCAACCAACAUACGCAUAAUAGAGGGGAUAAUCAAAUUUUCUAAUCCAAAAGGCCAAUUGAAUUGUGUAAUCCCUAAAGGUCCAAACCACAUUGUACAAAACCUUUGAAAUGGUCAGCAAAUGAACUGGUAAAUCCCAGUUUGAAUGAAACAGGGAAUUGAGGCGAUGAUUGUGAGUAAAUAGAUAAUAAAGUUAUCAACUUUUUGAGGAGAAGAAGAAGAGGGUUGGGUUGGCUCACCAUGCAAGAGGGCGGAGAGGCUCCCCAUGGGCAUGUAGUCGUAGACGAGGAGCUUCUCGUCCUUGCUGUAGUAAUAGGCCAUGAGGGGCACCAAAUUCUCGUGGCGCAGCGAGCCCACGGCCUCGACCUUCUCGCGGAAUUCCCUCUCGGGGAGGCUCACCUCCUUGAGCCGCUUCACUGCCACCGUCGUCCCGCUCUCCAGCACCGCCGAUGCCGGUCCCCCGAAGAACACCAGCUUCUUCGCCCCCGCCCCGGCCCCGCCCGAAUCCCCCUUCGACGCAGCAGCUGCGGUAGCAGCAGCGCUAGCCGAUGCGGCACCGCCCCCCGCCGAAUGCCCAUUCUCCCUCCCUUCCGCUGCCGCGGAUUCUGGAAGCUUCCGCUCCACCGCAGCCGCAUCCGCCGAUCUCGUCUUGCUCCUACCGGCGCCGCGGCGCUUGCAUAGGAGGACGAGGAGGGCGAGGAGGAGGAGCGCUCCAAUGGCGCACCCCACCGCGAUCCCCGCGAUCGCUCCCCCGGAGAGCUUCUUCUUCUUCUUCGUCUUGUUGCUCUCCCCUCCUCCUCCUGCUCCUCCUCCUCCUCCGGGCCCCUCCGCGGGCGACGGAGCGAUCUCCCCCGGGCACAGGCCCAGCGGGCCACCGCAGAGACCGGUGGAGAGGAACGAGCUCGCGGGCAUUUUGCGGAGGCGCGAGGGGAUCGAUCCGCUGAGAUUGUUGAAGGAAACGUUGAAUUGGACGAGGCUCGGGAGAUUUAGAUCCGGGAUCUCGCCCGAGAGCUGGUUCUCCUCGAGGUAGAGGGUGCCGAGGCGGGUGAGGUUGUUGAACGCCGGCGAGAUCUCGCCGGAGAAGUUGUUGCCGGCGAGGUUGAGGCGCACGAGCUUGGGGAGGGCGAAGAUCGCGGCGGGGAUCUCGCCCGAGAGGCGGUUGCGCUGGAGGUAGAGGUUGCGGAGCUCGGAGAGCGCGGCGAGGUCGCCGGGGAGGGCGCCGGAGAGGGCGUUGAAGCGGAGGCUGAGGGUGCGGAGCGCGGUGAGGUUGCCUAGGGUUCCGGCGGGGACCUCGCCGAUGAGCCCCACGCCGGGGAGGCGGAGGGAGACGACGCGCCCCGCCGCGUCGCACCCGACACCCUGCCACGAGCACGCCGCCGCCGAGGGGCUCCACGGCAGCGCCGAGCGCCCCACGGCGCUCCGGAGCGCCUGCAGCGCCGCCGCAUCGGAUGCGGCCGUGCCUGGCGGCCGCCCGGCGCCCGCCGAUACUAGUAACGACGCGCCACCGGACGGCCCGAACGGCGACGGCGAGGCGACGGAGGUCUGCUGCAACUGCGGCGGCGGCGGCGGCCGCGGUGACCACAAUCGCGGCGCGGCGGUUACCCGACUCCGCCGAGGAAGAGAGAGAAACAGGGAGAGAGAAACAGAGAAGAGGGGAGUGUGAGAGUGGCGUUGGGCGUUGCAUAAACCCCUAAUAAAAAGUCUCCCGAUCGAAAUAAAUUAAUAUAAAUACAAUAAUAUAUAUGAUAAAUAAAUAAAGAAUUAUUAUUUUAAUUGUGUUUUUUAAAGCUUUUAGUUUUUUCAUUACCUAAAAAGAAAAAAAAAAAGAAAAAACUUGAGGACUGAGGAACCACAAAGAAUGUGAUGUAUAAGGAUUAUUUGCUUUAAAUUACACUCUAUAUUUUAAUGUGGAACCCUAAACCAACCCCCCCUAUAUGCGUUAGAUAAUAUAAAAACCAUUAAUACACAUGGAAUUAAAAAAAAUAUUAUAUAUAUAGUAAUUAUAUAUACAUUAAUAAUUUUAAAUUUUAUCUUUUAUAUUUUACUAACAGAACAUAUAAUCUGAAUAAAUUUAUGAUGAAUAACUAAUCGAUAAAAAUAUACAGAAACCUCUCAAUUACAAAUUAUUAUGAAAUAAUUAUUUUUUCAAUUUUAUCAAAUUUAAUGAUCUUUUUGUUAUUAGCCGUUAGCUAGUCUAGUUUUAUUUUUAAAAAGUUUAUUAAAUUUGCUAAAGUUAACGAUAAAUUUGAAAGGAAUUACUAAAAUUUUAUUUUAAAUAAUAUAAGAAUGAAAAAAGGAAUAUAAUUUUUUUUAAAAAAAAAUAAAUAUUAAAUUUCUGACACACUAUCCGCAUUAGCAGGUGCUCAGUUCCUCCCUCAGUUCAGUGUCCGCAGCUUUUGAGGCGCGCUUCGGUGUAACGCCCGCCUAUGUCACGUCUCUCCCGCUGACACGUGGGGCCCACGUAUAAGGUACGUGGUCCCCUUUUGUGGUCCUUUUUGGAGCGUGCCCUUUUAACCCUGGUGGGCCGGUGGCGGGAAAUCGCUUCGGUGUUACGCCCACAUGUCACGGUUCUUCCACUGACAUGUGGGCCCCACAGAAAAUAUAUACGUGGUCCCAUUUUACGGUCCGCGUUCGAGUGCCCUUUAUUUGCCCUGGUGGCGCGAAAUUCGUUUUCACUCACGCGCGGAGUGACGCCGAAAAAUUAAUUACAUGCACCCGGUGCACCGUACACCGUACACCUAUUUGAGAGAAUUUUUAUUUCGCUUAAUUGCACUAUACAAAAAUAUACUCUACAAAUUUUUUACACUUUCUAUAAUGCGACAUUUUUUUUUUUUUUUUCCACCGCUUCACUCAAAUCUAUAAUUUUAUAUGCAAGUUGUUUAAAAAUAUAGUUAAAAAAUGUCAAAGCAUAUGCUCAACUCAUUUUUAACAUAAAAAUAAUAAAUUAUACAAAAAUAAUUAUGGUAAACUUCAAAUACCAUUGCUGUGAUUUCGUAUUUUCUCACUUUACUAUCUUGUGGUUUAAAAUGUAUCAAAUUAAUAUCAUGUGAUUCCAUUUUUAUCUUUUCGUCAGCUUUUCUGUUAUAUUUCGUUAAAUUAUAUAUAAAAACUUCAGAUAUUCCAUCUAGAUUUAUCAAAUAUUCACUUUAAUACUCAUUAGUUUUAAUUUUGUCACUAAUUUAACGAAAAAAAUUAGUGAAAUCGAUAAUAAAAAGAUAAAAAUAAAACCACAGAAUAUUAAAUUGAUACACUUUAAACCACAAAGUACCUAUAGUGAGAAAGUAUGAAACCACAGGGGUGGUAUUUAAAGCUUUUCCAAAUAAUUAAAAAUAAGUUAAUAGAAACAUUCAUAAGGGUAUAUGGAGAUUUAUCUUGCCUUUCAACUAAUGUUUCUUAAUAAAAUUAUUAGAUUUUGUCUAAAAUAAUAGAUUUAUUAGCAGUAAUAUAGAGAUUGACAAGAAAAAAAAAAUUGCUUAGUGAUAUUUAUGCGAAAAGAAAAUAAUAUGAUAUUGAAAAAUAAAAGUAAAUUUAAAAUACAGUGUAGAGAUUAUAAAAUAUAAUAAUAUAACAUUUUCUUUGAAAGAAAAAAUAAUAUGAUGUAGGAAAUAAAAAAAAAACACUAAAAUAUAUUACAAUAGAGUGUAGUGAAGUCUUUUUAUUUUGAUAGAUAUUUUGUGUAAAAAUAAUGACAACAAAUCAAAUGCUCGUGGUUUUGUAAAAUUGCAAUUUUUUUUAUUUUUUUGAGCUAGUCGCUUCAUAUAUUUUUAUUUUUAUUUAUUUUUUUCUUAGAAUUUCGAAUAUCAAUAAUUAAAUUUUUUACCAAUUGUGCCGAAUUUUUUGAAAAAAUUUUAUUUUCAUGUUUAAAUUGCAUACUACUUUUGUUCAGAUUAUUACCAUCUCACGUAGCUUAACGAGAUUGGUUAUAUACAAAGUUUACCAUAAAAAUCUUAAAAUUUGGUAAAAUUGUAUGAAAUUUAUUUGAAUUGUGAUUCAUUUUAGUUCAGCUCUCUAUCCCGCAAGAAUUUUAGUUUUGUUGCCUUUUUAAAAUUGAAAAUAUUUAUUCAUUUUAGUAAUCCAAAAAAAAUUUCUACGUCAAUAAAUUAUGAUACUAAUUGAUAUUCUCUCAAUAGGUUUAUAUUUUCAUUAUUAAUAGGUAAAACGAGGCAUGAUUUACUUAAAUUAUAAACCAUUUAUAAAGUUAUAAUUACAAAAAUUAUAUAAAAUAUACUAAUUAAAUUUGUAAAAGUAAAUAAUGUAUUCAAAAUUUAAAAUUAAAAUAUUCUUUAUUGACUCAAAUAAAAUGAAUUGAAAGGUUAUAUAGUGAAUUCAAAAUUGUUGGUAAAUCAUUUCUCAAAAAAAAAAAAUGUUUGGUAAAAUCGACGUAUCCUCAUAAUAUUAUUAUAUAUAUUAUAUUAAUAUAUAUAUACUAUACUACUAUUACUAUAUUACAUAUAUUAUAUAUAUAAUUUAUUGUAGCAGUACUAAUCAUAAAGAGUUUUGGGCGCUGGCGUAUGAGAUUUUUACGUACACCACCGUGCAGGCAAUAAUUGCAUUGAAAAGCUGUCGCGCUACGUGCCGAUUUCCAUUGGUCGAGAAGAAGAGGCUUGGUUUUUCGAUUGGCCGCGCGCCAAUCGCGUCUAACCGGCAGGUGAGCAGGAGGUUGGACGAACCUGGCGUCGGCGCGCCUCCUCGGGUCGCGCGUAAUAAAUCGGCGAGGGAAUCGCCGUUGACGGCGUUAAUUCAGUUACUUUUGCAGUUGUGCUCCUUUCCAUUAAAUUAUAAAAGGUUAAUUUCGUACGGAUUCCUAAAAAUAAUAAAUUACAAAAAAAUAUCUACAAAGUUUAACUUUCAUAUAUUAUUUCUGUAAAAAUUUUAAUAUUUUUAAAUAUGUUAUUGUCGCUAGAAUUCGUUAGAAAAUUUUAAUUAAUCAUAGGUUAAAUGACAAAAAAAUUUUCUUUUCGUUUUUAAAAUUUUUUUAGGAAAAUAAUUUUUUUUCUUACGAAAAUUUUAAGAAUUAAAAUUUUUUUUUAUAUAUUGGUAUACAUUUACUGGCCAAUCCUUUAUUUUCGUUAUUUUUCAGUGUCAUUUCUAUAUUUCCAAACUAUAUAUAAAUAUCUCCCUAAAUUUUAUAUAUAUAUAUAUAUAGAGGGAAGAAUUAUCUCCAUCUCCUAUCUGUCACGUCCAUCAUCUCCAUAUUUUUUGUCAAAUUAUAUUAUCUAAAUCAAAAUAUAGUUACAAUUUAUUUUUAUUUAAUAGUGAGUAGGUGUUUAUAUAUAAAAAAUUUUAGGAAAAACUUCAAAAACCUUCUCUGUGGUUUCGCACUUUUUAAUUUUAAUAUCCUAAAAUGUAUCAAGUUAGUACCAUGUGGUUUCUUACUUUAUCACUUUAGUAUCCUGUAGUUUAAAGUGUAUCAAGUUAGUACUCUGUUGUUUUAUUUUUAUAUCAAGUUACUAUCCUGUGGUUUUAUUUUUAUAUCAAGUUAGAACCCUGUGAUUUUUAAACCACAUGGUACUAAAGUGAUAAAGUGCGAAACCACAGGAUACUAAAGUGAUAAAGUGCGAAACCAUAUGGUACUAACUUGAUACACUUUAAACCACAGGGUACUAAAGUAAAAAAGUGCAAAACCACAAGGUACUAACUUGAUACACAUUAAACCAUAGGAUACUAAAGUAAAGUAAAACCACAUGGGGGGUAUUUGAAGUUUUUUCAAAUUUUUAUCUAAUCAAACAAGUGAAAAAAAAAUAAAAAAUUAUUUUUAUUUUUUUUUUCUACAACCAAAUGCACAUAUAUGAAAAACUAUUUUUUUUUCUAUAGAACUAAACAACAUAAACUAGAAAAAAAAAUAUCACAAAAAAAUUUUUCAUCAGAAAAUAGUUUUCUACUAUUUUCCAAAGAACCAAAUAGGUCCUUAACAAGCAAACUCGUGCUCAGUUCGUUUAAUAAACAAAUGAACAUGAGAUGGUCCUAGCUAGCUCGUAUUCGCCUCGUUGGUGGUCCUAAAUAAAAUGUUAUUUGUAAACCCCAAUCAAGGUAUAUAUUUUACAACUUACUCAUCUAAUGAGUUAGGUUUUUUUUUACUAAUCAUAUCAAGUGACUAGCAAGCGACUUUUACCGUUUUGAUGGAUGGAACGUAAAAUUUACACUAACUUUUGAAUAUAUGAGUAAUAUUGCUAUAUUUUAAAAUGUUAAAAUACAGAAAGUUUUUUUGCAAAUACUUUUUCUUUUACUUUUCUUUCUUAUUUUUAAAAAUCUAUAUUUUCUCUUCUCAAAAUUUUAAAAAUAUUUUCAGAGAAUAACGAUAUUAAUGGGGAUGAAAAAAAUGACCAAUCUAUCAUUAUUUUUUUUAUAAAAAAUAUAUUUUUAAUAUAUUUCUAUUAUUUUUUAGAAUAUUUUGGUAUAUUUAAUUAUAUAUUAUAAGAAAUAUGCAGAAUAGUAAAAGAGCCCUGAUGGAGGAAAGCUAAAUGCAUCAAUUUAAAAUUUUGAAUGCAUCAGUUUAUAAUUUUUUUUUCGUAUUUUAGUCCUUUUAAAAUAAACAUCAUUUUUAUAUAUAUAUCCAAUAAUUUAUUUAUGUAAUAAAAAUACAGGCAAUAAAUGAAAGUUUUUGACUUUAGCACUUCAAGUUUAAAUUUUAAUUCUUUUUGCAAAUAAAUUUUAUAAUAUUUUUUUGGUAAAAUCAUACAGAAUUUGCCUGAGCUAUGGAUCAUUUUGAAUUAACUAUCUCAUCUCUAAAAUUCUAAUUUUACUACCCUAUCUUUUAAUUAUUUGAUUUGAAUCCAUUAAUGACAUUUUGAUUUUAAAAUUUAAAUGUAUUAUUUAUUUUUACAGUUUUAGUAUACUUAAUAUAAUUCUUGCAAGCAUAAAUUAAUUAAAGUAAAUAAUUAGCUUAAUUUUUAAAGUUAAAAUAUCGUUGACUAACUUAAAUCAAAUUAAAAAAUUAGAUAAUAAAAUAAAAAUUUUGAAAGAUUAUAUAGCUAAUUUAAAGCAGUAGAUAGUUCAGAUAAGUUCUAUAUAUUUUUACCCCCUUUUUUUAAAAAAAAUUGCUUUAUGUUUUAUUAGAUCACUAUUGCUGAAAAAAAAAGAAAAAGAGAAAAAACAUAACAAGGUCAAGUAAGCACCUGGGCCUCUGUGUUAGAACUUUAAAAAUCUUUACCGACUAUCCCUGGCACAAGUGGCAAAGAGCUUGGUGUUAGUAUCUGAAGUCCCAAGUUUGAAUCCUAGUUGAUUCACAUUUCCAGCUAAGUUUAUUUUUAAAAGAAAUAAACGAAACGGGUAACGUGCUAUCUAUCUCUCAAAAAAAAAAAAAAAACUCAAAAUCUUUGGUUUAUAAGGGGGGCAAUUCAUCCUAUGACUACUCUAAUUUUAACACGCUUAACUUUCUUCAUAUUUUUGGGCUAGCCAUUACUCAGAGUACUAUAGCCGGAUAACAAAUUUAGCUAUCUUUUAUAUAGAACUGUUUCAAAUCUUAAUUAGGGGUAUUACAUUCCUCCCACCCUAAAGUUUCGAUAUUCUCGUCAGGUUCAGCAGGCUCAGCUACAGUCACAAGCAUCAGGCGAUAUGAAAUUUGUCUCGCUAGCCUUAGUCGACCUUGUGAGGAGCCACGCUCCAUCGACAAUAGUCAUCAACCAGAUAGCCACGCUAUGUCCACUGUAUGACCCCGGCUAGUCGAGACUCAUCUCAUACUUUCGAUUGGUGAUUAGCUCUGAUACUAAUUGUAGUGCCUCACUUCGCAGGACAUCACCUAUCCCACGACUAUUCUAACCCUAAUGGGCAUGUUUGUUUGGGUGGAAGUGGGUGGAAGUGGAGAGGAGGGUCGUUUUCGCCUUAAAUGACCACUUCCGUUGUUUAGUUUGCCGUAAAAAAGUUACGACCGAAACUUGAGUUAACCUCAAACGGCGUAAUUGACUUCACCCCAUUGUGAGCCGAAGUCAAUUACGUUGAAAAGAGGUGAAAAAAAAUAAUAAAAUAAUAUAAUAGAUAAAGCUAGUUAUAUAGAAAUAUAUUGAAUUAUGUUACUAAUUAUUUUUUUAUUCAGUUAAUAUAUCUAAAAUAUGAUAAAAAUUGAUUAGUUAAGUUUUAAUUUUUUUAUUUAGUUUGUACAUUUAAAAUAGGAUAAAAAUUGAUUAAUUAAAUAUUAAUAUUUUUUUACUUUAUAAUUUUAUUAUUGUAUUACUGUAAUUUAUGUANUUGUAUUACUACAAUUUAUGUAUAAAAAAAUAAUUUAGUUAUUUUAAAUUAAAUUUUAAUUAUAUAAAAAUAUAAUUAUAUUAUUUUUAUUUAUUAAAAUAUUUAUUAUUUAUAUAUAAAUUAUAGUUUUAUAUUAUACACUUUCUACCAAACAAACAGCAAAACUGAUGGAGCUUCACUUCCAUAAUUACGAAACAAACAGCAGGGAAGAAGUAGUUUUUACCGAACUCCAAUUCAACCCAAAGUCCACUUCAACCCAAAGUCCAGUUUCGGUAAAACAAAUAUGCCCAAUACGUUUAACUCUUUUAACCUUUUGGACCUAAUCAUCUAAAAUAAUAUAAUCAGAUAAAAAAAAUAUAGUUAUCCUUCAUAUAGAACUAUUUUAAGUCCUAAUAAGAGUGUUACAAGUAUCCUCAAUGCUAAGACACUUAUUUGGAUUCUCAGUACUCCGAGGACCAAAACAAAAAAAGAAAAAAAAAAAAAAACUGUGGUUAGAGUGUUAGACUAGACCUGGCGAACGAGUGAAUUGAGUAACCCGCAGGCGGAUCAUUGUACCUAUAGAUGGUUACUUAGGCAUGGAUAAAAUUUACUCGUAAAUUUUUGGGUAGCAAACAUCUUUAUCCAUACCAGCCCUUAGUGGGCAUACAGGUUACCCGUAAUUUUUUUUUUCUUUUUUUCUCUUAUAUUUUUUAAAUGCAAAACACACACACACAUAUAUAAGGUUUAAAAGUGUAACAUAACUCAUUAUUUAAAAUAUUAUAACAUACAAUAAAAAUAUUUAAAGUCUUAAAACAAAAAUAUUUUAUAAUAUAAAAGACACGCGAUAAGAAAUUAGGAUUAUAAUUUUUAGAACGGAUAAAUAAAAAAAUAUUUUUUUAAUUAAAAAUAUAUAUUUUGUAAUUAAAAAAUAUAUGUGGGAGUACCCGUGGGUACUCACGGGUUAUACAAAAUACCCACAGCUUAAUGAGUGCCCAUCAGUUUUAUCUGUAAUUUUUUGGGUUGAAAAAAUUAGUAUCUAUAGUCGCAAAUUUACGGAUAGCCCGCGGGCACCCGCGGGUAUGGGUCGAGAUUUCCAGAUCUAGGUUAGACCACGGUCCACGCAAGAGGAGCGGGGACAGGGGGGAAGAUCGCCGAUUUUUUUGCUCUCAAACGGCGCCGUAUCGGAUAAUCCAGACCGUUCAAUGCAGCGGAUAAAGCGAGGGGCGUAGGCCGUCGGAUUGAGAUCGGAGGGCGGUGAAGAGAAGACGGGUUUGGUGGGGUUGGGGGCAGUGGGACCGGGGGCGGAGACAACCAGGAAUGAUGGGGACGUGCGCCGGUGGGCCCCACCACACGUGACAGCGAAGCAACAGUGUGUCUUACAUUUUGGCCGUGUGGGGGCCCACUAGCCACGUGGACUGACCGGCGACAGCUGUCGCUGCUGAUAUAAUUGGACGGCGAGGAUUGGUUGGUUGGUUGGUUGGUUCCGCCGUAAAAAGACGGGCGUUGUUUGUAGCCUAGACCGGGUCCACCACGUCAUCCGUCGACCGCACAACUACACUAUAAUAAGGGCUGUUUGGUUUUGGUGUAAUUUUUUGAUGCAGUGUAAUUGAGAAUGCAUACAGUUUUAAAAUAUGAUAAUUAUGAUUAUAUAUAUAUCUUUUUGAUUGGAUGCCGGAGAAAGUGCGGCAACUAUAAAUAUUUUUUUUAAUUAUGUUAUUAUGUAUGGUUUAUAAGCGUAUGUAUAACAUUUUAUUAUUUUAUAUUUUAGAUGAUGAGAUCGGAAAAAAUAAUUUUCUAUUUGGCAGAUUAUUGGGGGAUAAGCUUAUAUUUGCUUGAUGUUAAUCUCUUCAAUUGCUGCAGUCAGAACAAAAGUCAAUUUGAGUAUAAUUUCUUUUUUUUCUUUUUUUUUUUGAGAGAGAUAGGUAGCAUGCUACCCGCUUCGUUUAUUUCAUUUAGAAAUAAACUUAGCUGAAAAUGUGAAUCAACUAGCUGAAAAUGUGAAUCAACUAGGAUUCGAACUUGGAUCUCCGAUACCAACCACCAAGCCCGUUGCCACUUGCUUUUCAACUGAUGCAUUUGAGCCUCUUUAUACAAUUCCAAUUACAACGGUGAGAUUCAACUACAUGAAAUCACACUGCGAAUUUAAAUUUGUAUGUAGUUACAACUACAUGCAGUCAAAUAGUCUCUAAGGGGCUGUUUGGUUGUACGCAUUUGCAACUGCAGUGCAGUUGCAAAUGCGUGCAACCACAAUUCCUUUGUUUGGUUUAGUGUAGUUGAGUUCAACUGCUGCAGUUCCAACUGCACAAGAUGGCCCAAAUGCUGCAGGUGGAACUACAUCCAAAUUGGUCGUAGUUCCAACUGCAGCAGUUGGUGAGGGAUAGGAUCACCCACAAAUUAAUAAUAAUAAAUAAAUAAAUAAAUAGCUAAAUAAAUAAAUAAUAUAUGUAUAUAGGUAAAUAAAAAUACUUAUAAAUAAACUCAUACUAAUAAAAUUUUUUAGACAAUACAAGCUUUGUGCAAAAAAUUAAUUUUUUUAAAUUUAUUUUAUUUAAAAUAUAAAUAUAGUUUUUUUUUUCUAAAUUUUUAUAGAAUGUGAUCGUGUAUGUUAAUUUAAUAAGUUUUAAUUAAUUAUAAUUAUUAAAUUUGAUAAAAAAAAAAGAGAGAAUCGUUUAAAUUUUAAAGUUUGAUUUACAUAUUAAAAUUAAAUAAAUUAAAAAUUUUAAAUGUGUCGAUUAAUAAGUUGAAGAAUUAUUGAAAAAUAUAAAAAUAUUAUAUAUAUCUACUUAUUUAUUUAUAAAUAGUAAAUUUAAAUAAUUAAUAAAUUUAUACAAUUAUUUUAUGUUUAGUGAAGGUAACCUCACCACUCUAUCUGAAGAGGUGACAAAAUUCAUAAAUACAACUAUCAGCUUCAUAUUACCAAAUAGAAGAAAUGUAACUGCAGCAGUUGCAACUGCGUAAAACCAAACAGACUAGGUAUAGUUAUAACUGCAGCAUUUGCAACUGCAUGUAUUUCCAACUACACUGUUUCUGCAACUACAUCCAACCAAACGGCCCCUAAAUGUAAAUGGUGCUGCAUGAUGUAAAUCUUCGAAAAUAUUUCAAUAAACCUCUCUGUCGUUUAGAGCACUUGUUCUUCAUAAUCUCGAAUUCUUGAGGUUUGAGAAUCGAGAUGUAUUAUUUUACUAAUCCGUAAUUUUAUCUUUAUUUUACCAUAAGAAUCCACCGUUAAAUAGUGUAUAAAUUAAUACUAUUUAUGAAUUGUAAGAUAGUAGCAUACUUCAUUUUACAAAUUAAAAAGAUGGUAAAAUACAACAGAUAACUAAUUAAUAAUUACUAUGUUAUCAAGUCGUUUGUAAAUUAAUAUUGUUUUGCUACUUUAUUAGCAACAAACACUUACAAUAAAAUAAAAAUAAAAUUAUAUUAAUAGUAAAGUGAUAUAUUUCAAAUUACAAGAUGGAAAAGUAAAAUUGUGCUAAAUCACACGUAGGCGCGUUUGGCUCGGAUUAUCUAGUCAGAGUAAUAUGCUAUCUUGUCAGGAUUACUAUGUUUGAUUUAUUAAGUCUGUAAUCUGGUCGGUAAUAUAACAUUACAAAUAUUAGUGUAAAAUUACUUCGAAAAUAUUAUCGGGCGAAGAAAUUGGUAUCUUAUAUUAUUAAUAGCGGAUAAUCUUGUAUGUUAUGUAAAAUUAUAAUUUUAAUUCUCAAACUCCCUUCCUAAGUACUUUCAAUACGCCAUUUUUAUCUCUCUCUUUAUUUCUCUCCCUCUGUUUUCUAGUCUUAUCUGUAGGAAUCCUUAUAAAUGAGUUCCUAAAUUAAAAUUUACUUAUUCUUGAAUAAUUACUGCAUUUAACCAAAUACGGUAAUGUAAUAUUAGUAGUAAUCUGAUUUAGAAAUUUCUUUGAUUGUGUCGAAAUACCUGUAAUGCUAUAUAACUCGAAUCAAGCGCGGUCAUUCGUUAAUUUAAAUUUUUUUUCCGAAAUUUUAUAACACUGUCAUCUAAUGGACUUGAUUUUUCGUCUUUUCGAAUGUAGACAAAGUUAUCCAAUUUCUUAUUUGGCAAAAAGGUAGAGAACAUAUCUGAAUUAUAAAUCAUUUUGAAUUAACUAUCUAAUGUUUUAUUCUAAUAUUUUAAUUUAUUUGAUUUGAGUCAGUCAACGAUACCUUAACUCUAAAAUUGCAGUCAUUUACUUGCAUUAAUAAAUUUAUAGUUACAAAAAUUAUAUGAAGUAUACUAACAAAACAUGUAAAGAUAAAUGAUGCAUUCAAAUUUUAAAAUUUAUAUAUCGUUUACUGAUUCAAAUAAAAUAAAUUAAAAGAUAAAAUAAUAAAAUAAAAAAUUUUAAAAAUUUGGUAUACAUUUUUACCUUCUAAGUUUAACCAUCCAUCGUCACAUGUUUUGGCCUACGAGCAUUCCUUAAAAAGGAAAACAAAAUUCAUCAACAUGUUGUAGGAUUUGUGGCAUUGGAUGUUGGAUUUUUUUUUUUUUUUUUAUAUAUUAGAUAGAUAUAUUUAUACAUCCCAGCAAAAUGAGGAUACUGUAAAUAUAUUUAUGUAAAUAUAAAAAAUUUUGAAAUAUAUUUUUGGACAAGUUAAAACUUCUCCUAUUUUAUAAUAGGGUUAAUUGCAUACAGAUACUCUGUAAAUAUACUGGAUUGUAAAUAUAUCUCUAUAAAGUUCAACUUUCAUAUGUUAUUUCUAUAAAAAUGCUAAUAUUUUUAAGUAUGUCCCUCUACUUUGUUACCGUUAGAGAACUGCUUCUAUUUUAACAGCAAAUAAGUGAAAUGUCAAUUUUACCAUCAUAAAUCUCUUCAAAAUCCACAACAGCUAUAAUCGAACAGAAAUGUCCACUCAAAAAAUUUUCAAUGGUCAUCUUUUUCAUCAUCCUCUUCCUUUUUAAAAUCUAACCCGUUCUAUCAUUGUUGCAAUAUCUCUUCUCAAUCAUUUUUUUCUAAACAUUUUCUUUUGAGCAAAAAAAAAAAAAAAACAUAGAGGAAGUUGAAUGGAAAAGCAACAUGCGUUUGAUAUGGACGAAACAACACGCGUUGUUGAUGAAUGUAGACAAAGAAAUUAUAAUUAUGGGCUCGAAACUAGCACGAAGAGGAAGAGAAAGAGGAAAAAGAAAAAGAGUUUCCAUUGCUAGAGUAUUGAUUGUGAGAAGAAGGUAUAAUAUAAGACGGUAAAAAUGUCAAGUUAUCUCAUUGACUAAUCAAGGUUAAAUAUUUAACCCAUGGUUAAUUAAGUUUUUUUAACGGAUUCUAAUGACAAUGAUAUAUUUGAACUUUUGCAGGAAUAAUAUAUAAAAAUUUAACUUUGUAGGUAUAUAUAUUUGUAAUUUACUAUAUUUGUAGGAAUCGAUAUACAAUUAAUCUUUUACAAUUUUAAUUUUAUUUUUGCACAUUUUUGCAGGACGAGAUGUUUGGUUGGAUGCUAUUAAUUUUAUAUUUAAUAAAAUUUAAUUUUUCAAAAUUUAAAAUUUAUUAUUAUUUAUAUUAUUUAAAUUAUUUAAAUUAUGAGGCAUGCUUCAAUAAAUCAUAAAUAUUAAAAUUUAAUUCUUAAUUAGUAAAGGGUAUAAUUGGGUUUUGAAUUAGUUAAUAUGACAAUAUUGAAAAAAAAAUUAAUAGUAUAUGCCAAAUUUGUCAGUAUUCUAUAAAUAUUAAAAUAUCUUUUUUACCUUGGAAACUUACCAAAUUAAAUAAUACUCAAUUUAUUAAGUAUCCAGCUCAAAAAACUAUUGAAUUUAAAUUUAAUUUUUGAAGUUGGUAUUGUAAUGUAAAAUUUUAAUUUUGAAAUUUAUAUUGAACUUUUAAAUUUGAAUCUAAAUUUAACUUUUAAUCUUAAAGCCAACUUUUAAUUUUUGAUUUAAAUUGAAAUUUUGAAUUGGAGCUGAAAGUUUUAUUUUAAAUUUGUAUUUUAUAUUUAAAAAAAUUAAAUUUGAUUUAUAAUUAAGUUUUAAAUGUUGUGUUGAAUUUAAAUUUACAAUUUGGUUGUAAUUUGAAAUCCAAUUAUUAUUGUAGGCAUUUCAAAAGGUCACAGUAUUUUUAGCUGGAUAAAACUGAUUUUGUAGACCAAAAUAUUUAACAAAGACCAAAAUAUUCUUUAAAUAGGUACUUGGUGAAUGGUACCUAUACUUUAAUAAUAGAUCACAUCUAGAGUCAUAUUAAACCUAAACCAUCUAUUAAGAAAAAUAAAUGGUCAAAAUUUAUAUGGUGUAUUGAAGUAUUACUCUAUUAUUAUUAUUAGAAUGAGGCGAAUUUAAGAAAGAAAAAAAUAAUGGAGAAUAGAUGUUAGUGGUCCACAUCUAAGGUGUGGGCCUGGUCCAUGCAACAACUCCUUCCCCACAGGGCUGGCCCAGAGUUAUUAUUAUUAUUAUUAUACAUUUUAAAGUUUAAAAUUUCUAUUUGGUUGAAUGCAUUUUAACCACUGACUUAUACUCUAGCAUUAAUAAUAAUUUCUUUUCAUAUUGUAGUCCCCAUUUAUUACCAGUUCAGUUGUAGCAUUUACUGUUAUCUGUCCCGUGGAAUGUUUCUUUGCGUAUCCAAUGUCUAAAGCAGCAUCUGAAUCCGAAUCAGAAUUCGAAAAAUAACGCAAAUUAUAAUAUUAUUAUUUAGGAUUUUGAAUCUAACCUAAAAAUGUGCCUAAGAGUUAGAAUUGUCAAAUUCCGAGGAGUUAUUAAGGAACAAAUUAUGUAGUAAAAAUCUUUUCGGAUGUUAUGUAAAUUUAUAGUAUUUGAGUUUUUUUUAUUAUUUCCUAGAAAAUAGCGUUUAUAUUUACAAAAAAAAAAGGUGUUUGGAUACAUUUUUGGGGUAUUGAAACACAAUAACAACAACCCAUGUGCGCCGUAAAUUUACUGGAACACUACGACAAAAAUGGUGUAUGGCGACACUUUUAAAUAUCGCUACAAUUAAAAAAAGUGCUACCGGCUAAAUUAUCGAUACUUUUUAAAAGUGUUGCUAUAUGUGAGGUCGCUAUAUGAAGGGCUGUCUUAAUGUUUGGCACCCACUUCUCCAGCGAUUUGUGGCGGAGGGACACGUGACGAUCGUAACCCUCUACAAUCUCUGCGAGAUCCCGGCGGCCGAACUCCAGCCGCCGGAACCCUAUCUCGUCAGCUGCGGCAGCGGAGGAGGAGAAAGGGAGGUGGUAAUCAAUAUUUCUUUUUUUUCUUUUCUUUUCUAUUUAUAAUCGGGCCGAGUGGGCUGGGUGGGGUUGGUUGAGUAGAGGAACAUUUUAUUUUUAAUUGGAUUGAGAUUUAUAUUUAGACCAUAGUAAAUUUUUUAAAAAAGUUUUGGUAUAAAUAAGACAUUUACAAAAAAGUGUUCUAAAAAUAUAUCCCUAUAAUCUAAUUCUGUUGUAGUAAAAAUUAAAAAUAGUUGGAACCUCUAAUCUCUCUGUAUUUGCUUGUUAUUGUAUUAUUCGAAUUUACCAAGCAUAUACAAUAGUAUGUAAUUACUGUACAACAAAAUUACAAGGUACCCAAAUAAUUAAGUCCAUAGUUUAUAUGCUAUAAAUAUUUUCUUGCAUGAUUAAAAGUUAAGAGUGUCGAUUUAAACUCCUUAAAAAACUUCCGUAUCUCUAAUUUGACGAGAUAAUUUAUUUUAUUCAAAAAAAAAAACUUGAAGGACGAAUAAAAUAUCUAUGUUUAAAAAUUUAAUUAAACUUUUAUUGUUAUUAAAUACUACAAAAUGUUUGAGUAAACGAAAAGAAAAAGAAAACAUACAAAGCAAAAUAUUCAUAUGCACAAAAGGAGCCUUAAUUAAUUGAAAAUAAUAGUCGCAAUAUGAUAAGUGAUGAGGGUUUACAAGUUGUAACCACGAAUCCUAAGAUAUCGAGUUGGAGCGCAAAUAAUAAACAUCGUACGUUUUAAAUUAAAUUGUAGUGAUUAUUAAAAAAAUAAAUUUAACUAAAAAUAUAAAGCAAUUGGGUUUCGAACUUACUACUUCUGAUACUAAUUAUCAACUUCUUAGUCAAUUGAGCUAGAUAUCAUUAACGAGUAGAGCGUAAAUUUUAUACGCCCACUCAUCUUAAAUUUUAAUUUUUUUAAUUUUUAGUAUUACGAAAAAUUGAUAAGACUAGUGAAAAAUAUUAUCUUUAAUUUGGAUGAGUAAAAUAUAUUCUAUUUUUCCUGUCCUUACACUAUAUAGAAGUUUGCCAAUUUAUUAUCAAUUGCAAGAGAGAGAACUAAUAUAAAAUUCUAAGCCCACUUUAUUCAUUUUUUUUAGAAAUAAACUCAACUAAAAAUAUGAAGCAAUUAUGUUUCGAAUUUAGAUCUCGAAUACCAACUAUUAGAUCCUUAGUCAACUGAGUUAGACACAGUUUGUGAUUAAUGUGUAAAUUUUAUAUCCACCUAUCUAAGAUUUGAAAAUUAUUUUUAUUUCUUAAUAUUAGGGGAAAAAAAAGUUUGAUAAGAUUAAUAGAGAUAUUAUUAUACUUUGAACGAGUAAAAUAUAAAAUUUAUGACUGCUCAUAGAUAUAAAGAUAGUCCUUUUCUCCUUUUCCUCAAUCCUCAAGACGCUAUCCAAGUUUGACAAUUUAUUAUGAAAUGUAAAAAAAGGGAACAACAUUAAAUUCUAAGUCUAAGUUGAAUUCGACGCACGACUUUGACAUCAACUAUUUAAGUGUCCAUCCUUGCAAGUUGUCUCCACUAUUUUUUACCAGCACAACCUGCAGGAUAGCUCAUUUGUUUUUUCUAAAUUAACAAAUAAUAAAACAAAAAUCACGAGCAAUUAAAAUAUAUUUACUAUUGAAAAAACUUAUUUUUAUGUCAAAUUGUGUCAGCGAACGAAUAUUAUAUAUACCGUCCACACUGUACCAUACUAUGCCAUACUGUGCACAUGAGUGCUCAGCAUGAUUCCGUACUCGGCACCCAAAUUUGACACAUAUUCGAAUCCUCUCCCAAUCUAGAAACAAAAGUCAUCAGGUUUAGAGAAAUCAGGUUAUGAUGAAUCUUCUAUUUUGUCGAUUAUUACUUUUUCUUCUUAUUUUAGAGGGCUUUUUUUUUUUUUGCAUUUGGUCCUUUCAAAAAAUUUAUUGUCACAAAUAAUUUUACGAAAUUUAUGAUUACAAUUUUGGCUCGAUCCCUGCCACGCAGAUGUCACGUAAACACCAUGCAAGCAAGAGGUAGUGCCGGAAUAAGUUGAAUACGAUAAUUCAUUCACCGUAUCUAAACACGAAAAAUAGGAGGAAUAUUCGUACAGAACACGGUGAACCAUUCAUCACGUUUGAACAUAAUGAAUGGAAUAUUAAAAAGGGAGAAUAAGAGGAACAUAAGUAUGGAAUACGGUGAAUCAUUCAUCGUGUUUAACUUAACGCCCUCCAACUUACGUGGCGUUGAUAUGGGACUUGCAUGACGGGAAUAUGAUUAAAUUUGUAAUUAUAAAUUUGAUGGAGUUAUUUGUAAAAUUCUUUUUGUUUGAGAGGGCCACAAAAAAAAAAAAGCCCUAUUUUAGACUAUCAUUUACACAUCAAUACUUCAACAAAGAGAUAUAGAAAAUACUCGGGUAUGGCCCACCAACUCUUCGUUUGAAUUCAAACUCCUACUAACCGUUAACGAUUUCUCACAUUCAUACAUGAUAUACACCUAAGCAUUUAUUAUUGCGGCAAGCCCCCAUUGAAAAGUUCCCCAUACAUAUUUGUCUCAUGUCCCCAAAUGUGGUUAAUUUCAUUGCCAUUUGAAAGUGAUGGUGCGACCAAAAAUGUCCACACAAUCAUAUGUUCUAGAUAUAGAUAUAGAUAUAGAUAUGUUAUUGCUUCGUCAUUCAUUCGGAGUAGCUAAAAUUAGGUGUCUCAUCAUCGUUGCUUCAUCAGAAAAAUUAAUUGAAAUAGAAGUUAAGAGUUGGGGUGCCUUGAUUGAAAGAGAUUAAAAUUCGGUAACCCAAAUGAAAUUUUACUAAAAGCUUGGUGACCAAUGGAGUAAUUUAACCUUAUAUAAACCUAAAUAUAUUAUACCCCAAAUUAAUAUGUUGUUGAUAAAUUGUCACGCCCCGGAUGUCUCGUUUUCCGGACACGCCGACAAAUCUGCCGUAUAUAAAGAAAUUUUUCUUAUAUACGAAGCGACAGCUGUACCUGUAAAUCAAACACUACUACGAACAAUAGUAGAGAGCUGCUAGAGAAAACAGAAGCUAAACAAACUGAGUUUCAUAUACAUAGUCCAAAUCCAAAAUACAGAGCUACUCGCACUGGCGAGUUAAGUCAACUAUGUACAUAAACUCGAAACAAAACAUCUACCUGCAGUAGGACACCUCUAGCUCAGCACGUCGGGUAGGGCUCUAACUCGCGACGCCCUUGCCUCGAUCCUGAUCCGCGGACGGUGCAGCAGCCGGAACCUGUGGCUCUGCAAAAACAUAGGUAACAACUGGGCGUGAGAANAAGCCUCCACAGCUGAACACCAGGGAUCUCACAUAAAUCAUCUUUAUACGUUCGACAGUUUUACAUUUGGCGGCUUUCAAAUGGUCCUUCUGAGUUGAUAAUUUAUUUAAGUGUCCAAGUUUAUGAUUUUAAAAGCCAAAUCAAUUACUAGCAUUCAUAUGUAUACAAAUUAAAUGAGUUAACAUCAGCAUUCUUAGGUACCCAUAGCAUUGCUCUGAGAGAGAAGGAAAAAUAGGAAUUUUUUUCUAAAUAACCCUAAAAAAUAUUAUAAUUAGCUAAAUGACCCUAUAAAACAAAUCCGUUUGAGUGAAAUAUUAUUUUAAAAGCGGUGAAUCGUUCACUGUAUUUAGAAAGACGGCAAACAAUUCACCGUCUUCAUAAUAUCCUACUAAAACGGUGAAUUAUUCAUUGCCUUCUUAAAAAUUGUUUUUAGAUUUUUUUUUUUUUUUAGGUUGUUAAGAUUGCAUGUAAUUUGUUGAAAUUUUUAUAUAAUUGUUAUGAUUAUAUAUGAAAAAUUAAAAAAUGUAAUUUGUUGAAAUUUUUAUAUAGUCGUUAGAAUUAUAUAUAAAAAAACAUAUGAGGUUGUUAAGAAUUAUUUGCUAUUAGAAUUUGUAUUGAUGUAUGAUAGUAUGAUAGAUUAUAAAUUAAGAUUGUAAUAUAAUUAAUUGUAAAAUUUUAUGUGUGUUAAAUAUAUAGUGAAAAAUAAAGAAAGAAAAAAAUAUUAAGAAAACACGGUAAAUAAUCAACCGUUUGCUAUAAAGACGGUGAGCGCCCCGAUUCCAUUCCUUCUAAGAGAAAAUUCAGUCCUGACGUCUAGUUGGAAAGGAAGUUUUUUUUUUUUUUUUUUUUUGUUUUUUGCGGAAAGGUAUUAUCUAAUAUGAACUUUAUAAAUUAUUUGACAAAAAGUUCUGAAAAUAAGACGGGCNNNNNNNNNNNNNNNNNNNNNNNNNNNNNNNNNNNNNNNNNNNNNNNNNNNNNNNNNNNNNNNNNNNNNNNNNNNNNNNNNNNNNNNNNNNNNNNNNNNNNNNNNNNNNNNNNNNNNNNNNNNNNNNNNNNNNNNNNNNNNNNNNNNNNNNNNNNNNNNNNNNNNNNNNNNNNNNNNNNNNNNNNNNNNNNNNNNNNNNNNNNNNNNNNNNNNNNNNNNNNNNNNNNNNNNNNNNNNNNNNNNNNNNNNNNNNNNNNNNNNNNNNNNNNNNNNNNNNNNNNNNNNNNNNNNNNNNNNNNNNNNNNNNNNNNNNNNNNNNNNNNNNNNNNNNNNNNNNNNNNNNNNNNNNNNNNNNNNNNNNNNNNNNNNNNNNNNNNNNNNNNNNNNNNNNNNNNNNNNNNNNNNNNNNNNNNNNNNNNNNNNNNNNNNNNNNNNNNNNNNNNNNNNNNNNNNNNNNNNNNNNNNNNNNNNNNNNNNNNNNNNNNNNNNNNNNNNNNNNNNNNNNNNNNNNNNNNNNNNNNNNNNNNNNNNNNNNNNNNNNNNNNNNNNNNNNNNNNNNNNNNNNNNNNNNNNNNNNNNNNNNNNNNNNNNNNNNNNNNNNNNNNNNNNNNNNNNNNNNNNNNNNNNNNNNNNNNNNNNNNNNNNNNNNNNNNNNNNNNNNNNNNNNNNNNNNNNNNNNNNNNNNNNNNNNNNNNNNNNNNNNNNNNNNNNNNNNNNNNNNNNNNNNNNNNNNNNNNNNNNNNNNNNNNNNNNNNNNNNNNNNNNNNNNNNNNNNNNNNNNNNNNNNNNNNNNNNNNNNNNNNNNNNNNNNNNNNNNNNNNNNNNNNNNNNNNNNNNNNNNNNNNNNNNNNNNNNNNNNNNNNNNNNNNNNNNNNNNNNNNNNNNNNNNNNNNNNNNNNNNNNNNNNNNNNNNNNNNNNNCAAUUCCACAGAGCACUCACCUCGAUAGAUCCUCAAGAAUCUGCGCAAUGUCGAGGACGACGGAAAUCUACGCUCGCCCGAGCUCCUCACAGCACCAAGACGACACAACGUGCGCUCGAACGGCUCCGCGGCACCACGUCGGCGACGAAACUCCACCCAAGCUCCACCUUGCCCACAAUCGGCUCUAGAGAGAGAGAGAUAGGAAACCAAGAGCAAAACUCUCUCUCUCAGCCUCACUCUACAUGUAAAUAAGCUGGGGAGAGGAGGGUGAUACGAACGAGGUAGAAAAAGACCAAAACACCCUCUCACCUACCCUGGUGUACCGGUACACGAGAUCGCGUACCGGUACAGGAAGCCAACCCGAGAGCAGUAUGCGUGUAAUCUGUGUAGUGUACCGGUACACCACGAUGGCUGUACCGGUACAGCAAGCAGUAAAAGAGCAAAUUGCAGAUUUUCUUCGCUAAAAACUAUCCUCGCGUCGCACGAAGCCCGUUUUACGUCUAUUUGACGCCAACGCGACUCGAACUUGUCCCGACACUCUCCAGAGCUGCCAACAAGCCUCCACAGCUGAACACCAGGGAUCUCACAUCCUCCCCCACUACGAAAAAUUUCGUCCGCGAAACUGAAACAUACCUCUGCUCAGGCAUCAAACAAAUAGGGAUAGGCUUCCCCCAUCACCGUCUCAGGCUCCCAAGUCGCCUCCCGCUCAUCAUGAUGGCUCCACUGUACUUUCACAUACGGGAUGAUCCGGUUGCGCAAUUCUUUCGUCUCUCGAGCAAGAAUUCGCAACGGUCACUCCUCGUAUCUCAGAUCCUCGCCAAUCUUGAGUGGAGUGAAGUCAAUCACGUGAGAGGGGUCAAAAACGUAUCUCCUCAGUGCUGAGACGUGGAAAACAUCAUGGAUGCAAGCAAGUCGCGGGGGUAGAGCUAUCCUGUAAGCUACCGGUCCGAUACGCUCCGAUACCUUGAAAGGGCCAACAACCCGUGAACUAAGCUUUCCACGUACUCCAAAACGGCGUAUCCCUCUGGACGGCGAGACUUUGAGAAAAACAUGAUCUCCAACCUGAAACUCUAAGUCUCAUCUCCNUUGCAUGUAAUUUGUUGAAAUUUUUAUAUAAUUGUUAUGAUUAUAUAUGAAAAAUUAAAAAAUGUAAUUUGUUGAAAUUUUUAUAUAGUCGUUAGAAUUAUAUAUGGGAAUAAAAAACAUAUGAGGUUGUUAGAAUUAUGUGGCUUAUUAGAAUUUGUAUUUGAUUGUUAGGAUAGUAUGGAUAGAUUAUUAAGAGUUUUUAGAUUGUUAAUAUUAUAUUAAUUUGUUAAAAUUUUUAUGUGGUUGUUAAGAUAUAUAUGAAAAAUAGAAAGAAAGAAAAACAUAUAUUAAGAAAAAGACGGUAAAUAAUUCACCGUUUUUGCUAUAAAGACGGUGAACGAUUCAUCGCUUUUAAGAGAAAAUUCUAUCCUGACGUCUAGUUGGCGAAAGGAGGGUUAGUUUGUUUUUUUUUUUUUUUCGGAAAGGUUUAUUUAUCUAAAUAUGAAUUUUUAUAAAGUUAUUUGGACAAAAAGUCUGAAAAAUAAGAGGGGCAUAUAAAGCUGCUUUUGUUUACUCUUGCGUCAAAAUGAUCUUCCCACUUACUGAGACUCCUCUCAGUAGCUGGUUCUCAAGUGAUUUGCUACUGUUGCAGUUGCUAACCAGAGUAAAAGAAACAAAUUGUAAUAACAACAAUAAUUGCUCAAUAUGCUAAAAGAAGCAUCAUGUUCCUUUCUUUAUAAUCAAGGCCUGGGCUUGAGCCAAAGCAAAAUAGAAACUGAGAUCAAGUUUCCCUCAUCUAUUACCAAAUUGAAAGAAAAGUUAAUAGUUUCAACAAAUAUCACGUUCGACGUAAACUCGGGGAUAAAACUUAAGUGGGUAGCUCCCAAAUGAUGCCUCACUAGGAAGCUCCUGAUCCGCUGCCGCAUGUUAAUUUUACCUCCAUACAAUAAAUUUUUUUUUAAAAUCAUAGAGAAAAAAAAUUAUAGCCUUCAGAUAGAGAUAAAAGUGACACGUAGCAAUGACCCGGAGCUCCCCCACCAGGCUUUAAGUUUUUUUUUUAAAAAAAAAAAAUUUCCAAAACAUAGUACAGUUUCACACACCUGCAUUUAUGUGGAUGGGCGACACCAUGUGUUUCUGUUAGCCCAAGUGAGAUAUCCACCAAUUUAUUCAUUCAUGCGUAUGAGAAUGGAAAGCAUUGAAUUUCUAAAACUGUAAAGAAGUCGACUACGAAAUGUUUAAUUUACAAACGUAACCGAGAUACGCGCGCUCAUGCACGGCAUAAAUAUUAGAGAGACAUCACACUGACAAAGAUAAAUUGCAGGAAAUCUGUUAUAACUAUCACGAUUUUCACAUUGCAAACCCAAUGUGAAUAUCAGAUCCCAUGCAAUGUUCCUUUAAGCAACAUUUAUCACCUCCUUCAUAGGUUAGGCAUGCUCCUCCCUGGGGGCGGGGGCGGGGGCGGGGGCGAAUGUCACAAUCGUGAAAGCAUGGGCUGAAGUUAAAAAUUGAAGGCCCCCUUCACACCGUCGAGGCUGUCGCCCAUGGACAACCUGCAGCAUACGAGCUUGUUCGAAUGAGUUCAAUGCACAUUUGGAAAAUGAAUGAGAUGCAGAGGCAUUUGCAUGUAAGCAAAAAAUGCAUCGAUUUCACAUCCCUGAAAUUCUCUUUGCAGAAACAAUUCAAAUACAUAAAUCCUACAUAAAUCCGUAUAUGAAAAGAGAAAACUAGUGCAUCAUGCUUUUCCCACCGACCUCCUGGUUUCACUAGACCUGAUCAAACCCCAGGCUAGGACAGGACAGUGGGAGGUCAACAUCCCGGAUCAAGAGAAAUUCGCCCAGGCAAUUUGUAUAGCUAUUUUAAAGCCGAGUAUAGUUACAAAACGACCGCCACAGUAAACAGAGAAACAUAUAGAUCAUGCACUAGAACAUACAACCCUCUCUAUGUGAUUAGUUUUGGGCCAGAGAGAGCCCUUGCUAUUUCUCCACUCCUCUGAAUCCUUCGCCCUCUCACUCCACCUUGAAAUCCACUUCCCGUUCUCACCCACACCACUUUUCCAAACAAGUUACACUCAAAACUCUCACUAUCCACCCACCUUGGACAUGGCAGUGUAGUGAAGCAUUUACCAAGGAAAUUGACAAGCAUCUAUGAGAUGUGACGUGUCUCUAGUUUAUCAUAGAUUUUCUUGUCUGCGAAAACCUCAACUAGAGUUAAAAUUUGAUCAGUUCUAAGAAUACAGACCCUGUAGCUUGUGCUUUUAAGAUACUUCACUUGUCGCAGGCUGCUCUGUCAACAUCUAAGUCAAUUUCCCAACUCCCCAACCUCCCUACACCAUGCAUUCAAUUACACACCUUAACCAAGCCUAAUUGACAUUAAGCUUUGUCAACACCAAUAUACAUAUAUAAAUACUGAUAGUGGACCAUGAAUAGAUAGAAAUUCUAUAAGGUGGCCCUUAUAGAGUUAUUACAUGGAGGAAUUGGAUGCCCUUCAUCCAACCCCUCCUUUAAAUCUUGACCAUCCAUCCAAGUUGUACUUUUCCAAGAAGCACAACUUGGAUGGGUGGUCGAGAGUUAAAGGAGGGGUUGGAUGAAGAGCAUCCCACCUCUCCUCAUACUUUUUUCUAUAUGGAGUACCUUAUAGAAUUUUGUCCAGCCUCAGAGGCAGAAGCAGGGGGCGGAAGGAGGGAACACGCCUCUGCUUACUUAGCAAUAGUACUUACAUCUGUAUAUGUUGUACAAUUUGUACCCCUCCUCGCCUUCUUAAAACCGCUAUUUUCUAUGAUUGAUUAAUUACUUUGAGCAUCCUCCACUGCUCAACUAAAGCUAUUUGUACAUCUUACCUGCUGUUGUUGAAGAAAAUCUUCUACAUGACGAAAAUUUCAUGUAGGAAUAAUAAUAUCCAAUCAAAAAUUUUCAUUUUGCAUGAAAGUUCAAAAACAAUAGUUUAGUUUUUGUGUGUGACAUUAAUUUGACAUGAAGUGUUACCAAUUUACCAUAUUGCCCUCAAUUAGAACUUCACCAUCUCACACGGCUCUAUAAGAUUCACAUUAGGAACAGAUCCUACAUAUAUAUAUAUUACCUGUAAUAGAAAAGAUUUUCUCCUGCUGUUGGGCUUUGAAGUUUCAAAGACCACUCCAAAAAGCUAUUGAAUGUUUAAUAGAUAGGUUGCUAGCACAAGAGCACAGGUUUUAAGAAAAAGGUACCACAAGGUAAGGUAUAUUUGUUUGUCUUCAAAUACUUUAAAACAUUUCGAACAAAUUUAACUCAAGCUUAAGGUAAGCUUGAUUUAAGCUGAUUAAGAUAGUUCCUGUAUAAAUUGAAGCUGAUUGAAAUAUUUUUAUUAGAAAGAUUAAAUAAUAUUAGAAGACUACACUCUAUACUAUUUAUAGUCAGAAACAGAUCUUAAACAUUUUGCAAUAUUCAACUGCGCUCGCUUUGCAUGAAAGUUCUGUCUCAGCCCCUGCUCCGCCUCUAUGAAGCUUGAAAGUAUACAAAUUUCAUGUUUUUGUCUUGUAAAUAUAACUUAUAUUUUUCUGUAGACAUAAAAUAAAAUAGAUUCGACUCUAUUUGACCCAACCGAAUUCCUCACCAAAGUAUACCCAACCGAAUUGCAGCUUACAAGUUGCAACCUACAUGGUGUUCCUAGUAAAAGUAAAAAGAACUAAAUUGCUCUGUCAUAUGUUUGUUAUCUUCACUUGGAAUAUCAUAAAGGGACAGUUUGGCCCCAGUACUGCUUUAGCUUUCAGCAGCAACAGGCAACAAUCUGAAGCUGCUUCUACUGUGGACAGUAGAAAUAGUAUUCUACGACUCAAAAGAAGAAGAUCAAACUUAAUGACUCUGAGUCUGCUACAUAAAGAAGUUGUUGUGGCUAUUUUAGUAUAGUACUUCUCCCUACUAAUACUACUCAAAACACACUCUAUCAAAUAUACAACAUCAUACAAUAGGGCCAAACAAGCCCAAUUCAUUUUUGUAAGUAAAGGAAGUCCAGAUAAACAGUCCAUUACUAGUUGUUCUUUUUGGAGUUUACCAUCUAGUUGCUAUAUUAGGACAACUAAGCCAGAUGAAAAAGCCUUCCAACUAUGUGCCUUAUCCAUUAAAGAAUGGUGAAAAUACCUACAUAGUCUGAAGCGUUUAGCGUCUCCCCAACCCGUGUUUUAAACUUGUGUUUGAUAAUAUGAUGCAUUAGUCUAGCUUGGAACUCCUCGAAUUAAUCAAUUAAGAGAACUGCAACUUUUGCCAAGUUGAAGCUAUUCACAAAAAUGUACAUAAUUCUCUAGGUAUUUUAUCACUAAUUUCAUGCUAUUUUAUCAUUAUAUGAUUAUGAUAAUUGUCAUAAUACAGGCAGGACUUAGCACUGUGGUAAGGAUGCUCCACUUCAAAAUAUUUGUCAUGAAUAUGAAUAUUUUCAAUAUGCAGCACAAGAAAAGGUUGUGCACAUUUUAUGUUCCUACACUUUGUUAUGGUAGGAGCCAUAUGAGUUAGUCUAUAAUUUUCCAAAAAAUGUUCAUCUUCAUCGUAUGCAGAUGAAUUUGACAAACUCUACCAUUUUUAUAAAAAAAAUGUCGGUCUUCAUUGUAGACAAAUCAAUUUGACAAACUUAUGUUGUAAGAGACAUUAAAAACAUAAUUGAAGUUGAGGAGUUCCAGUCCUCAGGCAACAAUAAACUAGCUAAGCUUUCCACAGAUUUUGAAAAGGUUAUUAACAACAACAAUCCACCAACCUAAAUGGAAACCAAGCCUGCAUAGCAAUUAGUAUUCUUUACUGAUGAGCUGAGCUUCUAAAAUUCCAAUUUAACGAGUAGGGCUAGAAUACUUGUAAAAGUAUCAUGGGGGUGAUACUUGUGUGUUUUUAGCCCUUGGAUGGAGAGAUGUGAGGUUGAAAUGAUGGUGGUAGGUGGUGGUAGGUGGUUGUAAAAGUAUCAUAGCUCAACUCCAAUUUAACAGUUCAGGUCAACUCCUACUAUUCUUAUUUUAUCUACCAUUAGACCGUGCAAUCAAUAGCCAUUGGACCACGUAAAAUAAAGCACCGGAAAGGAAGGAUGGAACAUACAAAAGAGAAGAAACUAAUCAUGCUAUCCAACAUUAGCUAAUGCAAUCAAUAACUGUCGGACCGCCUACAUCUAAGCUCUGCAAAGAAAAGAUGGAACCCAAAGAAGUACUAUUCCCACAUACUAGCUCUUUCUAUGUGUUGAGCUAAUUACAUUGGGCCUAUUUGUUAUUUGGGCCUUGCUAUUUGUGUUAUGUAAUUUGGUGAAGUCAAAAUCUCCUCUUUCUAUAUUUUUAUUAUGUAUGUGAGUCUCCUAUUUGUAAGUUUUUGGAUCAUGAUUCUUUUAAUCCAAAGGCCCAUAUUAUUAGCUUCUUCUCUUAGGAGCUAAAGUGGGAUAUUAGAAUAUGAGAGAAAAAAGAAGAGAGAGAAGUAGAGAGUGAGAAAAGAAAUGGGAGGAAAAGGAGGGAAUCCUAGGGCUUCGUUUUAAUCUUAGUUCUAUCAAGAAGGUGAGAUCUUCCUUACGAGGUGUGAUUUAUACUAUUUGGAUAGAGCUAGAGAUUGUUGGAGCUCUCUUUUAUACCUUGGAAUUAAGGUGAUAUUUCUUCCAUUUGAAUCCCUCUUGUAAUCUCCAAGUUUAUAGUGGAAGUUUCUUUUGCAUUGUUCUCCCAUGGGUGUAGGCAUAGCCGAACAACGUAAAUCCUUGUGUUCUUGUGAUUUUGUUUAUUUUGUUAUUGCUCUUAUGCUUGACUUUCAAUUGGAUGCUUGUAGAGAGUGGGUUGUGAAAUUGCCCACUAAAUGUUUGUGAAAUUGCCAUCAAUAUUUUUCACCCUUAUUUUACAACAAUUUGUACGGGAGCUUGAUUGGUGGUUAUCUAAGCAUUCAUUUGUGUUCAUUCAUUCAUCUUUCAAAUGGAGAAGGCUAUGGAAUUUGAGAAGUUGAAUGAGAGCAAUUGGCCUAUGGAAAAUCAUGAUAGAGGAUUAUUUGAUUGCAAAAGAGCUUGAUUUAACAAUAUUGGGAAAAGGUGCAAAGCCCAUUAGUAUGGAUAAUCAUGAAUGGGAUAUACUUGACCAAAAAUGUUUGGCAGCGAUUAGGCCGUGCAUUUCAUCAUCGAUCUUAUUUGAUGUCUAUCAAUAUAAGACCGCAUCCGAAUUGUAGGAGAUUUUGGAGCAAUCGUUUGAGCAACCUUCCGGUGUGAACAAGAUGCAUGCAAUGAAGAGACUCUUUCUCUUGAAGAUGCAAGAAGGUUCUACUAUUCGUAAGCAUGUGAGUGAGUUCAACUCUAUUGCGGCACAAUUGAAGUCUCUCAAAAUUAACCUUGAUGAAGAAGUCCUUUGUUUACUACUUUUGAGUUCUUUACCUUCAAGUUAGGAUACUCUUGUUACUAUGGUGGCUAACACAAUGGGGAACAAAUUCAAAUUGAAUGAUAUUGUUACUUCAUUGUUGAAUGAGGAAACUUGCAAAGCCACAAGUCAAUUGUCUAAUGAUUUGAGUCAAGCACUAACUAUUGGUGAAAGAGGAAGGUUACCGAAGCGAGGCCAAUAUUCCAAUACAAAGGAAAGAUUUCAAAAUAAAGGAAGAUCAAAAUCACAAGGUAGAAAGCUUACUUGUUGGUAUUGCAAAAAGACGGGCUAUAUGAGAAAGGAUUGUUAUGUUUUGAAAAAUAAGCAAAAGGGUAAAGGGAAGGAUAUCAAGAAUGAAGCUAACAACGCUUCGGAUGGUGAAGGUGGUGUCAUAUUAAGUGUUGCUUGCACAGUCUCUUCUUGUGCAAACACUUGGGUUUUGGAUUCCGGUGCUUCUUUUCAUAUAUGUCCGGAUCGAUCAUAUUUUUCAACAUAUAAAGAAGUAGAUGGUGAAUUUGUUUAUCUUGGUAAUGAUCGGGCAUGUAAAAUUAUUGGCAUUGGCGACAUUGUCAUAAAGCAAACAAAUGGCCAAAAGUAUACGUUGACAAAUGUGUGUCAUGUUUCGGAGAUCACAAAGAACUUAAUAUCGGCGGGACAAUUGGAUGAUUCCGAUUUUGUUAUCACUUUUGGGAAGGGCUCUUGGAAGAUAUAAAGGGGUAGUAUAACUAUUUUGAAAGGUUAAAAGGAUGAAAGUCUCUAUACACUUCAUGGAACCACUCAAAAAAGUGAUGAUUCAAAUUUGAUGGUUACUACCACAAGUAAAGGCGAAAAUAUACAAGUUUGGCAUAAUCGGCUUGGUCAUCUAAGUGAGCAUGGUAUGAAGGUAUUACAAGAACAUAACCUUAUUCUUUCCUUCGAGCAUUCAUUUCUUGAUUUUUGUGAACAUUGCAUUAUGGGAAAACAACAUAGAGUUAAUUUUAAAAGAAAUGAGAUGCAUAGAAAGGGCAAGCAAUUAGAAUUGGUUUAUUCCGAUGUUUGCGGUCCUUUCAAUAUUAAGCCACUUGGAGGUGCAUACUACUUUAUUACUUUCUUAGAUGAUUAUUCUAGAAAGUGUUGGAUUGAUCCUUUGGCUUCAAAAGACCAAGUUUUUAAAACUUUUAAGAAAUUCAAAACCCGUGUUGAAAAAGAAAGCGACCAUUUUAUUAAGUGCUUGCAAACAGACUAUGGUCGUGAAUUUUGCUCUAGUGCCUUUGAUGAUUUUUGUUUUGAGAAUGGCAUCAAAAGAGUGAAGACGAUUCCCUACACACCGCAACAAAAUGGGAUCAUUGAAAGAAUAAACCGAACCAUUGUGGAGCGGAUUCGAAGUAUGUUGUCUCACUCCGGCCUACCAAAGUCUUUUUGGGCUGAAGCGGCAAAUACGGCCGUUUACUUGAUUAAUAUAUCACCUAGUGUUGCAUUAGAAGGGUACAUUCCGGAAAUUAUAUGGAGUGGCAAAGACAUUUCCUAUGGGCACUUAAGAAUAUUUGUGUUCAUAUUCCGAAAGAAAGUAGAACAAAGCUUGAUGUGAAAUCAAGAAAAUAUGUAUUUCUUGGCUAUGAAGGUGAUGAGUUGGGCUAUAGACUUUGGGAUCCCGUUAUUGGAAAAACUAUUCGGAGUCGGGAUGUUGUCUUUAGAGAAAAUGUAAUGUUUAAAAAAGGCACAGAAGAAGAGCAAAAGAAAUAUAAGCUUAUUGUUGAUGUACAAGUUGAUGGUUCUCAAGAUAUACAUGAAGUUCAUCCUCCACUUCAUGAUAGUGAUGUUGGUCAUGAUGAUAAUGUUGAUAAUGAAGAAAGCAUACAAUCUAGUAAAAGUCGGCAUGAUUCUCAUGAAAGCGAGAACGAUAUGUCUACCCCGCCGACACAUGAGUUGAGAAGAUCAACUAGGCUACACAAACCCACCCAAAGGUAUUCUCCUUCCUUGUAUUAUGCUUUAUUUACUGAUUCAGGUGAGCCCGAGUGUUUUCAGGAAGCAAAAGAUUGUCCCGGGAUAGCAAAGUGGCGAAGGGCAAUGGAGGAUGAGAUGGAUUCCUUACAUCUAAACCAUACUUGGGAGUUGGUGGAGCUUCCAGUCGGAAAGAAAGCAUUGAAAAAUCGAUGGGUUUAUCAAGAAUGAAGCCGAUGAAUCCAAGAGAUAUAAGGCAAGGCUUGUUGUUAAGGGCUACGAACAAAAGCAAGGUAUUGACUUCAAUAAAAUAUUUGCUCUCGUUGUUAAGCAUUGCUCAAUUAGAGUUGUUUUAUCUUUAGUUGCAAAUUUGGAUCUUGAACUUGAGCAACUUGAUAUUAAAACCGCUUUCUUGCAUGGUGAUUUGGAUGAAAAAAUUUAUAUGUUUCAAUCCGAAGGCUUUGUAGAAGCUAAUCCUAAUUUAGUAUGUAAACUAAAGAAGGGAUUGUAUGGUUUAAAGCAAGCAUCUAGACAAUGGUAUAAGAAGUUUGAUUCUUUCAUGCAAGAUAAAGGCUAUAAAAAAUGUGAUUUUGACCAUUGUGUUUAUUUUAAAGGCUCAACAUAUGAUUCUUUCACUAUUUUGUUACUAUNAAGGGAUUGUAUGGUUUAAAGCAAGCAUCUAGACAAUGGUAUAAGAUAAAGGCUAUAAAAAAUGUGAUUUUGACCAUUGUGUUUAUUUUAAAGGCUCAACAUAUGAUUCUUUCACUAUUUUGUUACUAUAUGUAGAUGACAUGUUGAUUGCUAGUAAUGAUCAAAAUGAUAUUAUAAAGUUGAAGCUUGAUAUGUCAAAGAAGUUUGUUACUAAGGAUCUUGGUGAAGCAAAAAAAAUUUUGGGCAUGCAAAUUAAAAGGGAUAGGGAGCAUGGCAAGUUGUGGCUUAAUCAAUCGGGCUAUAUCUCCAAAGUUCUUGAAAGAUUUGAGAUGACUGAUUGUAAGCCGGUUUCUACUCCAUUAACCAGACAUUUCAAGUUAUCCAAAAAGAACUCUCCAAAGAAUGAGGUCGAAAGAGGUAAAAUGAAGAAUGUUCCUUAUAAUUCCGCCGUUGGAAGUUUGAUGUAUGCUAUGGUUUGUACAAGACCGGACAUAGCUUAUGCGGUUGGAGUUAUUUCAAGAUAUAUGUCUAAUCCUAAAUGGGAGCAUUGGCAAGCCGUUAAAUGGAUUCUUCGGUAUUUGAAGGGCACACAAAAUAUUUGCUUGUGUUUUGGUGGAACUUCUUUGGAAAUGAAUGGAUAUGUUGAUUCCGAUCAUGCCAGUUGUAGAGAGACAAGAAAGUUCACUACGGGAUAUGUUUUUACAUUUGGAGGUAGUACGGUUAGUUGGAUGUCUAGGUUGCAAGACAUUGUUGCUUUGUCCUCUACGGAAGCCGAAUAUGUUGCCUUGACUGAGGUGGCGAAGGAAAUGAUUUGGUUGAAACGAUUGCUUGCACAAUUUGGAGUGAAGCAAAACAAAUAUGUUGUGCAUUGUGAUAAUCAAAGUGCAAUUCAUCUUGCAAAGAAUGCGGCAUAUCACUCCCGAACUAAGCAUAUCGAUGUUCGCUUUCACUUUAUUCGGAUGGCAUUAGAUCGUCAACACUUGGAUGUGGAGAAGAUCGAUACAAAGAAAAACCUUGUGGAUAUGUUGACAAAGGUUGUUCCUACGGAAAAACUCAUAUUUUGUAGGAAGCACUCCGGAUUGAUCAAGAAGUAGAUGGAGUCGAUGGAGAACAAAGCAUUAUAAUGAAGCUCAUUUGAUGGAUGGAGAUUACUUGUUUGAAGGAUGGAGAUUUGCCUUCAAGUGGGAGAUUGUUGAGCUACUUACAUUGGGUCUAUUUGCUGUUUGGGCCUUGCUAUGUGGGUUAUGUAAUUUGGUGAAGUCAAAAUCUCCUCUUUCUAUAUUUUUAUUAUGUAUGUGGGUCCCCUAUUUGUAAACCUUUGGAUCAUGAUUCUUUUGAUCCAAAGGCCCAUAUUGUUAGCUUCUUCUCUUAGGAGCUAAAGUGGGAUAUUUGAAUAUGAGAGAAAAAAUUUUUAUUAUGUAUGUGAGUCCCCUAUUUGUAAACCUUUGGAUCAUGAUUCUUUUGAUCCAAAGGCCCAUAUUGUUAGCUUCUUCUCUUAGAAGCUAAAGUGGGAUAUUUGAAUAUGAGAGAAAAAAAAGAGAGAGAGGUAGAGAGUAAGAAAAGAAGUGGGAGAAAAAAGAGGGAACCCUAGGGCUUGGUUUUGAUCUUGGUUCUAUUAAGAAGAAGGUGAGAUCUUACUUGUGAGGUGUGGUUUACACCAUUUGGAUAGAGCUAGAGAUUGUUGGAGCUCUCUUUUACACCUUGAAGUUAAGGUGAUAUUUCUCCCAUUUGAAUCUCUCUUAUAAUCUCUAAGUUUAUAGUGGAAGCUUCUUUUGUAUUGUUCUCCUGUGGAUGUAGGCAUAGUCGAACCACGUAAAUCCUUGUGUUCUUGUGAUUUUGUUUAUUUUGUUAUUGUUCUUGUGCUUGACUUUCAAUUGGAUGCUUGUAGAGAGUGGGUUGUGAAAUUGCCCACCAAGUGUAUGUGAAAUUGCCAUCAAUAUUUUUCACCCUCAUUUUACAACACUAUGGUUCUAUUCAUUUUGUUCACAUCUUCUUUUUAUUAAAAUCCUUUUUUCCCCCCCUAUAAUCAAUUGAUCACGUUCUCCUAGGGUCGCAUUAAAUAUAAAAUGACCCACAAAUUAGGAAUUAAUACCACUGAACUGUUAGAUAUAAUCAAUGCCAGGAGCAAAAAGCAAUUCUACAAUCUACAAACACAACAAAAACAGAAUAAAUUUGAAAAUUAUGCAUCAAAAUUAUCCAAUUUUGGCAGACUCUUCUUACUUGUGCAUGCAGUAUUUGUACUCUUGCCCUCGGACAAAGUCCUUCUCCCCUUCUUCCAACUGAUCCAAAAAAUAUAUCAACUCAGUAGAAUCAAAAGUAAAAGGAACUACGAUUAAAGGGAAAGAGAUCUCUAAUUUUACGGGAUCGUCUUCGUAAAUGAGCUCGUAGCAUCGCGGCGAAAGGCACAGCAGGGCGCAGUUCUCCUUCGCGAUUACCGAAGCUCGGCACUUCCACCCCCACAGUCCACUUCAAUUGGGGUCCCAGAAGCACAAUCAAAGAUCACGUGUUAGGGUUUCAUCAAUUCACAGGAGGGGAGAGGAGAAAAGGAGCGGAUUCAGGAUCGGCACCUCUCGAUGUCGGCGUAGCACGCGUUCUUCUUCUCCCGGAUCUCGUCGUCCUGGGGAUCAAAUCCGCGAGGGAGAUGAGAGGAAACCCUAGAGAGAGAGAGAGAGAGAGAGAGAGAGAGAGAGAGAGAGAGGGGCUUACGGUGAUGGGGCGAGGAGAGGAUUUGGAGAGAGCGAGCAGCGGGAGGAGGAGGAGGAGGAGGAGGAGGAAGAAGAAGGACACGUGGCGAGCGAUGACGCGCGGAGGAGAGAGAGGUGGAGACGCCGCCAUGGCCUCCUCUCUUUUCCUCCGAGGAUCGAAGCGGCGAAGCGCGGCGGCGGCGCGUCGACGGUAAUAUCGUAAAUGCUUAAUUUGUCGUAAAUUAAUGCUUUCUUUCAUAUUUCAUCCUGCCUGUGUGUUUCAUUCCGUGAGGAAGUACAAUAAAAAAAAAAUUUAUUUAUUUUUAUAUAUAAUAUUAUAUGUUGUACAUUAUAAUGAAUCGGUUACAACAGAUUUUCUGCGUGAAAAAUAUAAAAAUAUAAUUUUAUAUAUAUUUUUAUCCGAACUCUAUUUUUAUCUAACAGACCAAACAAAGCCUAAAUCUUAAUCCUCUUCGCAAAGUUAAUUAUUAAAUAAAAUAAUAAAAUAGAUAAUAAUAUAAUAGAGUUGGGCUUCUGGGCUUUAAGAUCUGUGCAUUACUCUAAAUAAUGUGUUAGGUUAAAUUUUCUUUACUAGUACUGUACGAAUUUUGAGGCGAUUCAAUGGAUAAAAAAUCACAAGCACAAAUACUCCUAUACUUUUAAAAGUAUAGAAGCUUAACUCUAAUAAAUAUUAAUUACUGAUACUGAUGAGUCUCACUACAAUGCUAUCAUUAGCACCAAGCAAUGGGUGCUAUCAAGUUUUUCGCUAUUAGAUUAACCCAUUUUACCUUUUUCAUCGCUAAUAUCAUAUUAUUCAAUCAACCAUUCACUAACCACUAUUAUCCUAACCGUACAUCUCUUGAUCUAAGUGCCGAAACCUAACAGCACCAACAGUGCUAUUAGUAGUAUUUAGCCUAAUUCAUUAUUUGAUAGUGUGAAUACUUUUAGUAAAAUAUAUAAAAAAAAUUAGAACAAAUAUUCUUUUAACGUUAUUGACUUUCCAUCAAAUAAAUAGCAGUAAGAGAAUAAUUUACAUUGGCCAAUUUGUAUAAAAAAUCCACAAGUUUUGAGCUUUUGUAAAACUGGGCCGUUUUUUUCGAUUUUGCAGAUUCCGGCCGAAUUUUUAGAAAACUAACCAAAAUACUCUUAUUCCUUUCUUUCUUACCUUUUUUUUCUUCCGUUCUUUUUUUUCCCUCUACAAAGAGAGAGGUGCAAGUGGAGGCGGCCCGCCUCCCCUCUACCCCUGGCGCCCUCGCCUGCAUCCACACACCACCCGCCCUCCUCGCCUCCAACCCCACCAAGGUUGCGUUGGCCGCCACGCUUUGAGACGGCCUUCAUUGCCUUCGCUCUAUGUACCCUCACUCACGCCCACUCACCCCCCGCCCCCUUCACCUCCGACCCUGCCGAGACUGCGUUGCGAUCCUUUUUUUCUUCUCUCCGAACCUCCUCCACCUCUUCCGUGACCUUCGCGACUCACCUCCACUGCACCAAAUUUUUCACCCACCAAACCUAUUUUUGAGAACCCAUCGUUCUCAUCACCAUCGCCGACAACGAAAAAGAAAUGCUUCUCGGCGCCCAGAAGCUCGCUGGCGAGGGAGAGGGCACGCAACGCACCUCACCCAUCCGAGGCCGACGACAAGUGAGAUGGAGACGGAGGAGAGCACGACGACGCCGGAGAAGAGGGCGGGGCGGCCGCAAGUGCGGCGUCCUAGAGGGCAGCGGCAAGCGUGGCCUCAGCGAGGUCGAAGGCGAGGAGGGCGGGGAGUGCACGGGAGCAUCUUUAGUUAAGUACUUUUGUUUGCUUAAAAUAAAAAAAAUAACUAAAAAAAAAAAACUAGAUAAUAAGAAAGAAGAACUAGAGAAGAAGGAAGGAUGUGAUGAAAUUGCAUUGUUAAGAUAAAGUUAUACUGUUUUAGAAGAAUGUUAUAUUAUUAUAGACAUAAGUUGCACUCUUUAAGAUAUAAAUUGCACAUUUUAAGAUGAAAGUUGCACUCUUUGGGAGGAGAAACAAUAUAACUAUCUCACAAAGAGUAUAAUUUUUAUUUAAAAAGUAUAACUUUCAUCUUAAAAGGCGCUCUUUGGGAGAAGAAAUAGUGUGACUAUCUCUCAAAAAGUGUAACUUUUAUCUUAAAAGAUGCAAUUUACAUCUCAAAGAGUGUAACUUAUUAUGUCUAUAAUAAUGCAACGUUCUUUUAAAACAGAGUAACUUUAUCUUAACAGUGCAAUUUCAUCUUCUUCUUUCUUCUUCUCUAGUUUUUAAUUUUUAGUUUUUUUUUUUUUUGUUUUAAGCAAACAAAAAUGCUUAACCAAAGAUACUCCCGUAUAGCCCCCGCCCUCCUCGCCUUUGACAUCGUCGAGGUCGUGCUCGCCGUUGCCUUUUGGGACACCGCGCUAGCCACUGCCCCACCUUCUUCUUCGGCGUCGUCGCGCUCUCCUUCGUCUCCACCUCGCUUGUCGCCGGCCUUAGGUGGGCGCAGUGGGUCGUGUGCCCCCUCCUUCGCCAGUGAGCUUCUUGGUGCCGAGAUGCGCUUCAUUUUCAUUGUCAGCGGCGGUAGUGAGGACGGUGAGUUCCCAGAAAUGGAUUUGGUGGGUGAAAAAUCUGCUGCAGUAGAGAUGGAGGUGGGUCGUAAAGGGUCGCAGAGGCGGUAGAGGAGGUUCGAAGAGGAAAAAAAGAGGAUCGAUUUGCAGCCUCGGCGGAGUCGAAGGCGAUGGGAGGUGGGGGUGAGCGGGCGCGGGCGAGGGCGCAUAGGGCAAAGGCGAGGUAGGGCGUCCCAAAGGGUGGCGACGAGUGCAGUCUUGGUGGGGUUAGAGAUGAAGAGGGCGGAUGGUGUGCGGAUGCGGGCGAGGGCGCGGGGGGCAGAGGGAAGGCGAGCUACCUGUGCCUCCGCCACUCUCUUCGUAGAGGGAAAAAAAGAACGGAAGAAAAAAAAGGAGAGAAAGAAAGGAAUAAGAGUAUUUUGGUCAAUUUUCUGAAAAUUCGGCCCGAAUCUGCAAAAUCGAAAAAGGCGGUCCAGUUUUGCAAAAGCUCAAAACUUG
rnacentral:lncRNA from 1 species